rnacentral:sRNA from 1 species
AAUACAAAUGGGAAAUUAUACAAUACAAAUGAAUAUUUAUACAAUGCAAAUGGAACAUUGUGGAAUACAAUGAAAAAUUAUAGAAUACAAAUAGAAAAUCAUACAACUCAAAUGAAUAUUUAUACGAUACAAAUAGAAAAGAUCCAAUAUUGCAACGUUUAACAUGAUAUACCUCUCGAACUUUUUUUUAAACUUUAUUGCAGCAUAGAUUGAUAUUACGUAGACGUAGAUGCAUUGUCACCAUCAAGACAGCAAAGACAUACGUUUUAUUAGUGUAGUCUCUGAAGAUUUUUCUAUGACCUUAAUAAUAUAAAAGAAAUGAAUUCAAAUUGAUAUCUUCCUACAUGUAUAUUAUACGAUGUACAGUUACUUUACUAAGCUGUUAAACUUCAAAUAGGGGUUUUUUUAAAGAAAAAGCGUAAAAUAUACCUAUUUAUAUUAUGCUCGCAUAACAAAGGUAGAAAUCAAAUUCAUUUCUUUUUAUUCAAUUUUUCACAUGUGCAUUAAGAAAAAAGACCGACUAUUUAAAACAAUGACGUUUAUUUGUACAUUUGAAUUAACGUCAUGAAGAUUACAUGUUCUCAUAUCAGCCGUAUUAUGACGUAGGCUUGCAAUUUAUAUUAUUCGAUAUACAUGUAGAAUAGAUGAAUUUGUUUAGCCGGUCAAAUAAGGCGUAAUAAAUAGAAGUAAAUAACAUCCAAG